rnacentral:rRNA from 1 species
GAGACCGGCGCACGGGUGCGUAACGCGUAUGCAAUCUACCUUUUACAGAGGGAUAGCCCAGAGAAAUUUGGAUUAAUACCUCAUAGUAUAUAGACUCGGCAUCGAGAUUAUAUUAAAGUCACAACGGUAAAAGAUGAGCAUGCGUCCCAUUAGCUAGUUGGUAAGGUAACGGCUUACCAAGGCUACGAUGGGUAGGGGUCCUGAGAGGGAGAUCCCCCACACUGGUACUGAGACACGGACCAGACUCCUACGGGAGGCAGCAGUGAGGAAUAUUGGACAAUGGGCGCAAGCCUGAUCCAGCCAUGCCGCGUGCAGGAUGACGGUCCUAUGGAUUGUAAACUGCUUUUAUACGAGAAGAAACAUCCCGACGUGUCGGGACUUGACGGUAUCGUAAGAAUAAGGAUCGGCUAACUCCGUGCCAGCAGCCGCGGUAAUACGGAGGAUCCAAGCGUUAUCCGGAAUCAUUGGGUUUAAAGGGUCCGUAGGCGGUUUAAUAAGUCAGUGGUGAAAGCCCAUCGCUCAACGGUGGAACGGCCAUUGAUACUGUUAGACUUGAAUUAUUAGGAAGUAACUAGAAUAUGUAGUGUAGCGGUGAAAUGCUUAGAGAUUACAUGGAAUACCAAUUGCGAAGGCAGGUUACUACUAAUUGAUUGACGCUGAUGGACGAAAGCGUGGGUAGCGAACAGGAUUAGAUACCCUGGUAGUCCACGCCGUAAACGAUGGAUACUAGCUGUUGGAAGCAAUUUCAGUGGCUAAGCGAAAGUGAUAAGUAUCCCACCUGGGGAGUACGUUCGCAAGAAUGAAACUCAAAGGAAUUGACGGGGGCCCGCACAAGCGGUGGAGCAUGUGGUUUAAUUCGAUGAUACGCGAGGAACCUUACCAAGGCUUAAAUGUAGAUUGACCGGUUUGGAAACAGAUCUUUCGCAAGACAAUUUACAAGGUGCUGCAUGGUUGUCGUCAGC